CAAAAUACUACAUAUCCCAGAAGUCUCCCUUGACGCUUGUAAUCACGUGACUUGGUAUAAAAAGCGAACACGUGAUCUUGUUCUCUCCGUGUUAGUUUCCUGGUGAAGGUGAAGCGUCCGCUAGCGUUUACCACCGGCCUCCAUACGAAUUCAGACAGAAGAUGUCGACCGUGUCUGCUGCCAGCAUGGAGUCUGCUGCUGUGACUGGGGACACUGAGCAGAAGAAGCCACUGAAACCAUGCUGUGCUUGUCCAGAGACAAAGAAAGUCAGGGAUGCUUGCAUCAUUGAAAAGGGAGAAGCCAGCUGCACAGACCUGAUUGAGGCACACAAAGAUUGCAUGAGGGCGCUUGGCUUCAAGAUUUAACUAUUCCAUUUUGUGUGCGUGUGCUGUUACUGAUUCAUCCAUUGCCAGCACAAGUGUGUUGCUGUGCAAGUGGAAGACGACCCUGGAUAUGCCCUUCUUUCCCCGUGUUAUACCUCGACUGGAAGGGAAAUGUGAUUAUGAUGCACUUAAGAUCUGAUGGUUGAUUGUCUUUCUGUGAAAUUGUUUUUUAAAGUCUUCUGAAUUUUACAAAAUGUGUAAAUCUAUUAUGCUGUCUGAAAUUGAAUAAAAGUCCUAUGCAAUAAGA